UUUACAAUACAUCUAAAAGAUAACAAUACAUGAGUUGGCCGUUGUUCUGGCGAUCUCUAGAUGUAUUGUGUACGUCUUAAGUACUGUUGUGGUUCCUUGCAUCGGGGCAUUAUCCACAAGUUUGAUGUAGCUACAAUAACUCUGUCCCUGGUAUAUAGUUGUGACUCCCAUAAUCUUUCGGCUGAAAUAUCCCUGAAAAGCAGCUGAAAAACAGGGUUUCAAAAAUCGAUCGGGGUUCUAGUUUUCGAGAAAGCAACGUGGUUGAUAUUGAAUAAUUUUUAUUUACUAUGAUUUCGGUAUAUAUAAAUUUGGAUUUCUCCAACUAAACAGUAACAGUAUUACCACAUUCUAUGGAAAUUGAUUUAUCUUGGUGAUAUUGUAAGAAAUAAUAAUUUAGUCUAAAUCAUAAUAUUUCGAAAAUAAACUCUUAUCGUACAGGAAACCAAUAUUUUCUAUAAUUGAAGUAUUAUCUCAAAUCAUAUAGCAGUUGGUGUUUUUUGGCUUAACCUUCAAAUUAUCUAUCACGUGUCAACAAACAAACAACAUCUCCAUAAAUAUAGAAACAUUGAAACAUUGUAACAAGUAUCAGUCCUGUAGUGAACGUACCAUCGUCAUCAUCAUCAUCAUCAUCGUCAUCUCCAUAAGCUAAGUAUUUCAUCUAUAUAUUUUAUUUUUUAUGAAAUUCCCAAUUUUCAUAUUUUUUUUAAAUGGAUUCAAAAGAGAAGAGAAACAAAAAAUUGUAUGAAUUAACUAAGGACACACCCUAUCCAAUUGUAAGGGGCAAUGUAGUGAAUACUCGUUUUGAUCAAGCAGUACUAUUGGUGUUGGGAGAGGUGCAAGUGUUUUUUCCCAAUAGGGUAACGAAAAUUUAUGAGGAUAACGUGGAAUGUUUAAUGGAAAAGUAGUAUUCCAUAGUUUUUCGAAGGAAAAUCGAAUUAACUUUCAUCAUUUGAAAUAAUUGAAAAUUAAAUGAAUUCAAAAGAAAUUAAUGAAGUUUCUGUUGAAGAGAGAAAAUAAACAAAAAAAUUAUAUGAAUUAUCUAAAGACACACCCUAUUGAAUUGUAAGGGGCAAUGUGGUGAAUACUCGUUUUGGUCAAGCAGUUCUAUUGGUAUUGGGAGAAGUGCAAGUGUUUUUGUCCAAUAGGGUAACGAAAAUUUCUGAGGAUAGAAUGAAAUAUUUAACGGAAAAGACGUAUUCCAUAGUUUUUCGAGGGAAACUCGAACUGCAAAGUCAAUCUUAAUAAAUUUAUUCGCGUCAAUAAACAUUUCCUAAUUGGCAUAAUACAUGAAAUUUAGUAGAAUUUAGGGCAUUUUAAGCAUUUUAAAUUACAUAUUGCUAUACGGGCAUUAAUAAGAAACUUAGUAACAGGGUUAAAUGGGUAAAUAUAAACGUUUCAUCAGCUUUUCAGUCUAGAAUUAGGACAGGUAUCUUAGUCAAUUAGCUUCAUAAAGAUUUGAAUGAAUCUCUAAUUGAUUUUUCUAAUAUAUUUCAAAAUAAAAUGAGGAAAAAAAUUUUAAGCCCAUUUCAGAUAAUUAAGGUAAUGCUACUUUUUAUGGUGAAUUUAUUAAAUCUUCAGAGUAUAAUGAUGUUAUAGAUUUAAAUAUUUUGAUACUAAAAAAACUUUAGAUGCAUUGACAAAUCUACAGCGUUGGUUUCAAGAUAAUAUAAUUUAUAAAAUUGCAAAUAAAUUAUCAGAAUUUUAAGAACGCGAUUCAGGGUAAGCUAUGAAUGAAAUAAUUUCACUAGAAAUAAAUAUAAAUUGAUACGAAAUCGGGAUUGGUUUAUCUUACAAUGAGUUACCUAACAAAAUUAAAAAAAUAUGCCUGUAUAAAUAUUAAAAAUACUCAUCACACAUGUUUUUAUUGGUCUAUUGUAAGUGUUUUAUAUCCAUUUCACAAUACAGUAUUAAAUACUGAAAUAUCUAAAUUUGAAAAAUUAAAUGAAAUUUCCAUUAACGUUUACGCUUUAGAAUUGAAUUUAGUGCCACCAUUAUUAACAAAAAAUAAAUAACAAAAUCAUGUUAA